rnacentral:rRNA from 1 species
GAUGAACGCUGGCGGCGUGCCUAAUACAUGCAAGUCGAGCGAACGGACGAGAAGCUUGCUUCUCUGAUGUUAGCGGCGGACGGGUGAGUAACACGUGGAUAACCUACCUAUAAGACUGGGAUAACUUCGGGAAACCGUAGCUAAUACCGGAUAAUAUUUUGAACCGCAUGGUUCAAAAGUGAAAGACGGUCUUGCUGUCACUUAUAGAUGGAUCCGCGCUGCAUUAGCUAGUUGGUAAGGUAACGGCUUACCAAGGCAACGAUGCAUAGCCGACCUGAGAGGGUGAUCGGCCACACUGGAACUGAGACACGGUCCAGACUCCUACGGGAGGCAGCAGUAGGGAAUCUUCCGCAAUGGGCGAAAGCCUGACGGAGCAACGCCGCGUGAGUGAUGAAGGUCUUCGGAUCGUAAAACUCUGUUAUUAGGGAAGAACAUAUGUGUAAGUAACUGUGCACAUCUUGACGGCACCUAAUCAGAAAGCCACGGCUAACUACGUG